UGCGGCCUCUCCGCCCCUCUGCAACAGAUGUUUCAGCCGUGUAAGACAAAGGCAGAGCGCCUGCUGCUGCCGGAGAAAAUCCGCAGGACUCCCUCAGGGGCAGCCGCCCUCGGAAGUCAGCCGAGUGAAGCAGCUGUUCCUUGCACACUCCACUUGACCAAAGAUGAUGAUAAAUGAGGCCGGGGCUGCAGCGGGGACGCGGCGGCGGCGAGGGGCGCGCAGGGCGGGGCGUACCGCCCCCGCAGCCCCCUCCCCGUGCCUCUGUAAGGGCGAGGACGCGAAGGACAGAAG